rnacentral:rRNA from 1 species
GACGAACGCUGGCGGCGUGCUUAACACAUGCAAGUCGAGCGGAAAGGCCCUUCGGGGUACUCGAGCGGCGAACGGGUGAGUAACACGUGAGUAAUCUGCCCUUGGCUUUGGGAUAACUACCGGAAACGGUGGCUAAUACCGGAUACGACAACCGUCUGCAUGGGCUGGUUGUGGAAAGUUUUUUCGGCCAGGGAUGUGCUCGCGGCCUAUCAGCUUGUUGGUGGGGUAAUGGCCUACCAAGGCUUCGACGGGUAGCCGGCCUGAGAGGGUGACCGGCCACACUGGGACUGAGACACGGCCCAGACUCCUACGGGAGGCAGCAGUGGGGAAUAUUGGACAAUGGGCGGAAGCCUGAUCCAGCAACGCCGCGUGAGGGAUGACGGCCUUCGGGUUGUAAACCUCUUUCAGUACCGACGAAGCGCCGAUGAUGGUGGUGACGGUGGGUACAGAAGAAGCACCGGCCAACUACGUG